UCUGUUUUGAUAGUUAAUUAACACAUUGUCGAAAAAGAUGAUAAAAUAUUGUUUAUCGUUUAUUUUAUUAAAAUUUUGAUCUAAAAAGACUUUUAACACUGCAUUCUCUAGUUUUUUUUUUAAAGGAUAAGAAAAGAAAAUAGAGGAAAAUUUUUAAUUUUUACAUUCUUGAGUUUAUUUUAGAAAAGAAAAGAAAAUGAAUGAUUGGAAAAGUAGGGGGGUUUUGGCUUCAAUAUUUUCUCUCCAAAAAUGGCCUGAUUUGAAUGGAAAACAAUCAUCCAAAUGUGAAAUUAUCAAUAUAUCCCUCUAUCAAACACUUUCAUUUUUAGGGUUUCAUACGAUUCUCCAGUUUUUGCAGCAACUGAAAAUAUACUCCUUUCAAUGACCGAACUGGACUUUAGAUCAAAAGGCAGUAUCAAAGUAAACAAUGACCGCAGGACAUUAAAAGAACGGAACUGGCGCAGGAUAUGGAAAGCAACUGGGCACUUUGUCAAAUGUUGAAGUAUCUGUAUCAGUACAUGGAAGUAUUAGAAUGAGGACAAUAUUGUAAAGUUACAAAAAAGUUUUUUUUUAUUUUUUCAUUCAAUCUAACUCAAAAAUGUAAUUAAUAUUUUCUUUUCUUUUAUUUUUCUUUAACUCGAGAAUGCCUCUAAACUAUGUAAUUUCUUUUCUUCUCUUUCCCUAUUCAAUCUUAUCAUUUCCUUUCUUUUAUAUA